CACCCUUGGAUCUGUCUGGUAAACUAACAGGCUUUUCCCAGAAAAUCCGUUUACAGACUGAAUAUCAUUUGGAGAUUAAGAUCCCAGACGCUGUGUUAAACACUCAUCUGUGUGCUGGGGCGAGAGAGAGGGAGAGGAAGUUAAAACACUCGAUAAAAUGCAACAUUUGGACCGCAUCGUACCACCUCUGGCUAGCUCGACAGAUCUCAGGUAAAAGAUUCGAGUCUCCACAGGACCUGAGACAAACAUGAAAAUAUCUGGUCACAUUCCCACAGCGGACAUUGGAUGAAUACAACGUGCUAGGUAUUGCAAUAACGACCACGAAGGCUCCGCAAGAUCACAUGAAAACAAAACAGCACCCUAAGAAAUUGCACUGUGUCACAGCUCUGUAGAAUCACUAACAACUUCUCUCGAUGAUGACGUCUGCAAACGUCUGUGGUUCAAGCGAAUGACUCAGACAUGAAUAAACACAGCACCUUUCUGUGUAAUUAGCUGAUUCCCAGACUGCAGUUGUGUAGAAUGAGCACUAGCUGAGCCUUUUGCUUGGGUUUCCUGGCCUGGUGUCAGCUAAAAGUCAGGUGGUCUCAGGUUCUGCGGAGGUCAGAGGUCACGAGGAGUCUUGCCUCGUUCGACCAGUCGGGCAGAGCCUCUCCAGCUGCUGAGCGCGCUCGUUGUGGACAGUCACCAAGGUUCGGUUCUCCUCGGUUAGACGCCGAAACUCCUCCUCUAGACGGGCAAUCUCCAUGGCAACCUUCUCAUCCUCCACCAGCUCUGCCAGCAACUUACGCCUAAAAGAAGAUGAAGAUUUUAACAGCCAGUAAUUUGUUAAUUUUCUUUCUUAGUAUGACUUAAUCUGUAUCAGGUGGUGUGAAGAGCUGGAGACUGUCCCAGCAUGCACUAAAGCAGGGAGAUGGCCGUAAUAGGUUCCCAGUUCAAGGAAAGGCAGAUUUGCAGACAAUCAAUCACAUUCAUACAUAUGAGCAAUUUAUAGUCUACAGCUGCUUUGUUUCUAGAAUGUGGGAGGAAGCCAAAAUAACCAUGGAAACAAUGCAGACUCUCAGGAAGGCUGACGUGCAUGCUGUUUGAAAACAAAACUAACCCUUUUACAAUCAGUAAAUGCAACAUUUUGUGGAGUCAAAUGGGGUUUACAGUGUUAUUAAAGAAACUAAAGGCAAAUUGUUGUUCCAAUAUAUGAAAAGAUGUUUUGUUUUUUUUAAAUGUAUGGUACAAAUCUGGAAAACUGGAUUACAAACAUUUUAACUGAAGCAUCUACAGUGAAGCUCUACACCUUAUGUGUAAAAUAAUUUUGAUAAAUAUUACGGAUCUCUGUGUUCUCAGUCAGAUUCAGGGAUAUUACCAUUACUACAGAGUCUGGCAGGUUUGAAGAGAAAAUGCUCUGUCUAGAUGAGGUGACAAAAAUGUUUCAUUGCCUAUUAUAUGAUCAUUGAAGGGCUACACUUUACAGUAAAAUGCCCCUCCUAUCAGAAGAGUUCCUCAUGAGAGAUGACAAUAAAAAACGUGAGUUGAUUUUAAGAGAGGAAAUGUUUCUGUGGCAGAUUUGAUCAUGUUUGAGCAAUAGGACAAAGUUUGUUGGUUUUUUUUUUGCAUUGUAAUAUUAAAUAUAAGACGUUAUGUUUAAAUCUUGCAUGCUUUACCACUCCAAUAGCAUUUCUGGUGUCUUGUAAGUCCAUGUGGGCUUGGAGUCAUGAACAUGGCAGCAUUAAUAACAUCACAUAUUAAACUAAAAAUUGU